UUAUUACAUCUGAAACAGGCACCACUGCGUGACCAAGGAAAUGCUAUUAGAAGUUUGAUGAUAUAUUUGAGUCAUCUAAUAAUUCAAAGACAAAGUUUUCUAACAAUAUUAAGAUUCAUGUAGACACAGGUACCGUAACGGCAUAACAUAUAACUAAAUUAACUAUGAUGCAGAAGGUAUGAUCAUAAUUGUUUGGCCUUCAAUAUUAGGAAAUGGCUACACAAUUUGGCUGAAAAUUGCUAACUUAGCAUUGCAGAUUUUACAUGGCAAUAUUACAAUUCGUGGUGACUGUAAAAUAGACAAGUGCAUACAAUAUGGCUCCAGCCUCCAUGAUAGUUCAUCAGAAGCUUAUUAUGAUGCAGCUGCAUGUUCCAACAAGAGGUACCUAAUAUUGACCAAUGUUUGUUAUUGUCCAACUGUUCAUGGUAUAAUGAGUCACCAAUAGCCGUUUCUCUAGUUCAUGACACAAGUAAGAAGCCAUGAGCAAAGAAAACAUUUAAUGGAACUCUCUCCUAUCUAAGCUCCAACUCAAGUAGUUACUUAUGACUAGAGUGAAUCUACAGACAGACAGAAAGGUUAGAUAUUUCAAGUUAACACACCGCAUAGGAAAUGCAGCAUUACUCAUUAAGCUACUGUGGCUAGCACCUUUACCACCAUUGUCAUGCUUGAACAAUAUUUCUGGAAUAUAUGUGAGUAGUACAAUGCAAGCUCUCACACAUACUGAUGCAAUCAAGGAAGACUAGACAGGAUUUAUCACUACUUUAGCUACUUUAGCGGCUCGGCCAAUUACUCGGGAUUCCCAAUUAUUCCAUUUUCUGAUGUUAGCAAUGUAUAGUGGUCAAAUAGGAUUAUUUUCUUCUCAAGAUCUUUUACUUUUUUUUUAUCAUGUGGGAGUUAGAAUUAAUUCCCGUUUAUCUACUUCUAUCCAUGUGGGGGGGAAAGAAACGUCUGUAUUCAGCUACAAAGUUUAUUUUGUAUACUGCGGGAGGUUCCGUUUUUUUAUUAAUGGGAGCUUUGGGUAUCGCUUUAUAUGGUUCUAAUGAACCGAGAUUCCAUUUUGAAACAUUAGCUAAUCAAUCAUAUCCUGUGGCGCUAGAAAUAUUUUUCUAUAUUGGAUUUCUUAUUGCUUUUGCUGUCAAAUUACCGAUUAUACCCUUACAUACAUGGUUACCAGACACCCAUGGGGAAGCACAUUAUAGUACUUGUAUGCUUCUAGCCGGAAUCUUAUUAAAAAUGGGGGCAUAUGGAUUGGUUCGAAUCAAUAUGGAAUUAUUAUCUCACGCUCAUUCUAUUUUUUCUCCCUGGUUGAUAAUAGUAGGCGUAAUGCAAAUAAUCUAUGCAGCUUUAACAUCUCUUGGUCAACGAAAUUUAAAAAAAAGAAUAGCCUAUUCUUCUGUAUCUCAUAUGGGUUUCAUAAUUAUAGGAAUUUGCUCUAUAAGUGAUAUGGGACUCAAUGGAGCCAUUUUACAAAUAAUAUCGCAUGGAUUUAUUGGUGCCGCACUUUUUUUCUUGGCAGGAACGGGUUAUGAUAGAAUACGUCGUGUUUAUCUUGAUGAAAUGGGUGGAAUGGCUACCUCAAUGCCAAAAAUAUUCACGACAUUCAGUAUCUUAUCACUAGCUUCCCUUGCAUUACCAGGCAUGAGCGGUUUUUUUGCGGAAUUGAUAGUAUUUUUUGGAAUAAUUACCGGCCAAAAAUAUCUUUUAAUGUCAAAAAUAUUAAUUACUUUUGUAAUGGCAGUUGGAAUGAUAUUAACUCCUAUUUAUUUAUUAUCUAUGUUACGCCAGAUGUUCUAUGGAUAUAAGCUGUUUAAUGCCCCAAACUCUUCUUUUUUUGAUUCUGGACCGCGGGAGUUAUUUGUUUCGAUCUCUAUCCUUCUGCCUGUAAUAGGUAUUGGUAUUUAUCCGGAUUUCGUUUUCUCAUUAUCAGUUGACAGGGUUGAAGCUAUUCUAUCUAAUUAUUUUUAUAGAUAGUUAGAUAGUUUUUCUAAAUAAAACAAAAAAAAAAGAAAUCCUAUGAUUUUUAAAAAUUAAAAAUUGUUAUGUUAUACAAUGAAAAAAACUUCUUUUUUCGUCUCUUAAAUUUAAGUUAAAAAAAAAAUGAAUUGUAACCAAAUUGGCAUUUGUAAGAACUUUUUGAAUCAAGUAAUAUAGUGAUUCAAAAAGUUCUCAACGGCUUACCUAAAGCUUUUUGUAUAUACGCUUUGUUGUCCUAUAGAGUUGCAUUCGUCAAACCCUUUCUUCAAUUCAAUUAGAUGCUAAUUGUUAAUGUAAAUGAACCAUAACUAUGUAGUCCUAUUCCUAAUAAAUUAACUCCAAAAUAGCAUAUCCAAAUUAGAAGAAAACCGAUAGAAGCGACAAUUGCGGAAUUGAAACCCUCCAAUUUUUUAUUUGUUCGAAUAUGAAAAAAAAUCGCGAAUAUGGUCCACGUAAUAAAUGCCCAAGUUUCUUUUGGGUCCCAAUUCCAAUAUGAUCCCCAUGCUUCAUUAGCCCAGACUGCUCCCGAAAGAAUACCUAUGGUUAAAAAGAUAAACCCUAUACUUAUAAUACGACAACCCCAGUCAUCUAAUUGUUGAAUCAAUUGAAACCUGUAAUAAUUCCUAGAAGAAAGAAAAGAAAUAUUUCUUAAAACAUUCUUUCUUUCCGCCAUAUAUUGUAUCUCACUAAAGAAAAACGAAUCGUUUAAUAAAUUAUUGCUUUUAUCAACAAUUCUUAUGAUUUUUCGAAAUGUGAUUACUAGAAAUGCUACUGAAAAUAAUGAUCCACACAAAAGAGCUGCAUAGCCCAAUAUCAUCAUACUUACGUGCAUCAUUAACCACUGAGAUUGGAGAGCGGGCACUAAGAUUUCGGAUUGAUGCAUGUCAGUUAAAAGACCCGAAGUAGCAAACCCUUGGGUAAAAAAAGUACUUGGCGCGGUUAUUGCGCUUAAAAAAUUUUUAUGUUUUUUAAAAUACGGAACCAUAUGAAUAAUGGAAAAAGCCCAUGAAAGAAAGAUUAAUGAUUCAUAUAAAUCACUUAAUGGUAAAUGUCCCAAAAAAAUCCAACGAAUAACUAAUAAUCCUGUUAUACAGAAAAAAGUAGUUAUCAUGCCCUUUUCUGACGAAUCAUAUAGUUCUACGAAUUCAUCGACUAAUAAGGUUAUCAAAUGAAUUGUAAUUACAAUUGACACGACUGAAAAAGAUAUAUGCGUUAAUAUAUGUUCUAAAGUCGAGAAUAUCAUAAAAAUAAAAAAAAGGGGGGGGCUCAAUUAUGAGGAAUUGAAAUCAAGAAUUGAAUUCAUUAUAGGAUUUAUUGUAUCCUUUUGAAAAUUACAUACAGGAUGUUAUGCCGCCACUCGGACUCGAACCGAGAUGCUCUAGCACUGCUUCCUAAGAGCAGCGUGUCUACCGAUUUCACCAUAGCGGCUUGCUCGAAAUCAUAAUAAUAAAUUAUUAUUUAAUCGUCGAGCUUAAAGGAAUCAAUUCAAUGCAAUAUUUUUUAGGAAACAUUAAAAUUAAUGAAGAAAAAUUCAUUUAAUAAUGAAAAAACAAUCGAAUUUUUUUGUUGGAUUACAAUUUGAAUAUUACAUUCAAGAGAUUUAUGGAAAUAUUUUAUUGGUUAGGGUUUUUUUGUGGAGAGAAUUUGUGUUAGGAUUUAGUAACCAAAUUGGGCAUUGAUCUGGACAUAUCAUAUAGCAAAAAAAUUUCGAGUUCUGCUCCGUACUUUAAAAAAAAAUCUUGUCUAAUUUAAUAUAUACCUUGAUCCAUUUUCUAGCCCAAGCAUAUGAUUAAAGUAGAUCAUUCAAAGAUUUGCUCUUUUAUAUUCAAAUAGUAUAAAUAUAAAAAAGACAAAACUUAGGAAUAUUUAUUAUUGUGAUUGUGACAAAUGGAUCGAUGGGGAAAAUAAUAAUCCCUAUCCUGAAAAUGAUAAAAUAUCCUAAUAAUAAAAAGAAAGAUAAAACUUUGUGUCUUCUCUUUUUUCUUUUUUUGCAAACAAAAAGAAAAAAAGUACUGUUUUUAGAAUUCAGUAGGCAAAAGAAUUCUUUAUUCUACAUAUGAUAAAAGAUAAAAGCAAAAGAAAGGAGUUCGAUUUAAUUUUAAUAUUGAUUAGUUCAAAACAUUAAAAAAGAAUGGAAAUCCUUUAUUUUUUUAAAUUUUCUAUUUAUAUUAUUAAUAUAAAUAGAAAAUAGAAAAUAAUAAACGAAAUUAGACCUUUUCUCAUGUCAAGUCAAAUCAGAUUAUUCCAACCUUUAAUCUUUUAUUUGUUGCACAAAAAAACUUUUUGAAUUACCUGUAGAAAGAGAUUUCGCUAACGAAAAAGCUUUCAAUACUGUCCAAUAUCCCUUUCUUUUCCAAAUAUUUUUUCGAAUAAGCUUUUUUGAUAUAGAAGUGCGCUUUUUUGGAACUGCCAUUCAAAAAUAAAGGAGUUAUUUAUUGUUAUAGUUGGAUGUGAAAGACAUUUAUUGUUAAAAAAAAAUCGUUCUUUACUAACUAUUCAUUGUCUAUGUAUUUAGUCUGUAAAUUAAACUCUUUUCAUAAAUCAUAAAAGAAGUCUAUCCGCUUAUUUUUUUAUUUAUAUUUCUGUCUUUUUUGUCAUAUUAUAUGUAUAUAUGCAAUAAAAUACAUUAAUAAAGUUUAAGAAUCUAAAAUUUAUUUAUCCUAAUAAAAAACUUAAACUUUUUUUUCUAGUAAUUUAAUUGGUCAAACUCGAUGAAAAAGUAUAUCUAAUUGAAAUUAAAUUUUCAAAUUCGAGCGAGACUAUUAAUUAAUUUGUUAAAAUUUAGAAAGUCCUAUGUAAAAAAAUUUUAGUAAUUCUUUCCUUUUAUCUUAUGUAAAGGAAAGGUGUCAAAUAUAAUAGUGUUUUCUACAAACAUAAUGAAAGGAAAUAAAUCCGUUCCAAAAUGCACUAGUUAAUGAUUCUGAAUAAAGGAACUAAAAUAAAAAUUUAUUUAUUUUAUUGGAAUUGGAUACAGAAAGGAUUCGGUAAAACCAUCUUUUUUUUAUUAUUCCUAUCAAAAUAAAAAUACUACUUUUUUUAGAAUUCUUUAUUCUUUCUCUAUGUAUAUACAAAUUUGUAAUUAGUAAUUAAUAAAAUUAAUAAUAAUAAAUUAAUUUAAUAAUAAUAAAAAUUUUUUUUAUUUAGAAUAAGUAUUUUUUUCACUAGUAUUUUUAUUUGACCAAUUCUAACUUUUUGAUUUAAAUAUGUGAAGUAUUUUAGAAAAAUUCAGAAUAAUUAAGAAUAUAAAAUUCGAUUUAAGUUUUACA
rnacentral:tRNA from 1 species